GCCCAAGCUACUGCAGCUGCACUGCCAUUUUUAGCUCACUAGAUCAGAUGAGAGCUAGCGUGGCUGCUGAGUGAACACAGAUAGCACAUUCGGACCAAUUUGCCUCAUGUAAGACUAGAAACGAUCAGCUGUUCAUGAGUGAUAAAGAAGAUGCAAGUAAUGACUGUGCAAAACCACAAGCCCAAGAGGACUCGAUGCAUAUGUGGAAUCCCAGAAUGCUCAAGAUCUCAGAACUUUCCUCUGGGGAAGACUGGAGCGAUCAGCCGAAACUUUGGGCUAGAUCCAGACCCCAUUGAUGUCAUCAGAAAGACUUCAACUUCAGUGGAUAUUGGAUCAGGGCUGCAGGCAGUAGAGAGGAUGGCAGGCCGUCUGGACACAACAGAGAUUCCAUGAUCAUUCACACACUAUUUCUAGGACGAUACAAGCAAUCCAAUAAACAGUUCAUAAACUUCAGCUCAGCACUACAACUGUUCACAUCGGCAUAUGCAAGAAACCAGC